CCGGGUCCCGUGGCCCGGCGGUGGUAGCCGCGGUACCUCUGCUGUGGGAGGCGGUGGCCGCGUGAGGGGCGAGGCCCAAGGGGCUGGCGGCGGCCGGGCUGGCGGCGGCGGCAGGGACUUCCCGGCCGGGAUGUAUUAAGAAGCUGGGCCGGUCACUGUCAGGAUUGUCCUGUCGCUACAGAAUGUUCAGGCAGCUAGAGGGCAGAAAAGCUGCUUUCCAAAUUUAGACGUGAUGCAGGAUGUCAACUAUUCUGAAGUAUACCCUCAAGUCCAAUUCUGCUGACCGAGCAUCUGCAGAGAUGACCAGGCAGUCUCUUCAGGGUCAUCUUUCUCAAGUGUAAAAGUGGAUAGUGGCUCAAGUGUAAAAGGAUGGCACGGUCACGCUCUCGAUCCCCCAGGUGGAAACACAGGUCUUUAUCACCAGUACCUAGAAAUUCUGAACACUACAAGCAAAGACAUUCUUAUGGGCAUUAUGGCUGUGAAUAUAGGAAGGAUCCAAAAAGACCCAUCACUUGGCGAAUGGACAGUGAGAAACACGGACAGAGUAAACCAAGGAUUCCUUCUCGUGGAAAUGUGCAUUACCGAUCUUAUGAACAUAGAUCACCUUCCCCAAACCUAAGAAGAAACUCUUUAGAAAAUGUUUAUACUUAUAAGCCUUACCGAGCACACUUAUCAGGAGGAGGGGAUGGUAACAGAAGAUCUCACUAUAUGCCCAAAUAUUCAGAAGGUGUACCCUACAAAGAGCACCAGGGGAAUUGUUAUUCCCAGAAAGAACAAGGAAGGUAUACUCCUGAUGACCACAGAGUCAGAGGAAGUGGAAAAGGAGGGAAACCACCUCAGAGGUCAAUAGCAGAUUCUUCUAGGUUUGAAGGAAAGUGGCAUGAAGAUGAGUUGAGGCACCAGAGGAUACAAGAUGAAAACUAUUCUCAGUCACUGAGAAGAGGCUCCGAAGACUUUGAGAAAAGGAGCUCUUUACAGAAGAGGUAUCCUGAGGAUCGUGAUUUCAGAAAAUAUGGACACACAUCAAAAAGACCUAAAGAUGUGGAGAGGUAUGAAAGCAGAGAGCCUGCCAGGAACCCACAGUGGAAGUUCGGGCAUUCUCUUCCAUCUUACCAAGAAAAGAAAGAGCAGUGGAACCUUGGACCCCAAACUCAUCGACGUGCUCAGAGGGAGCCGCCAGAGACCAGUUCAGCAACCAGGGUAUCCUGUGACUAUCGCCACAAACGUCGCAAGACCUCAGGUGGGGACCAGGACAUUCCUGAUGGAAGAAUUCAGAAGUACUCUAAGGAGGAAGCUAGAAAACCCAGUUCUCAAAAAGGCCCUGAAAAUAGACAGUCCAUUUGUCUUAAUGCUGGAAGAGGGAGAGAAACUGAAGGUGGGCAAGUCAAAGAACCUUCCAAACCAUCUAAGAAAGACUGCACUGACUGCACUGCCUCUAUGCAUUCAAGUAAAAGUGAUGUUGGCUUGAGACCCUGCGGUGACAAAUGGAAGGAGAAAGGAAAGAAAGAAGGGGAUGGCAGAAAAGAGAGCAACUCUUCCAGUAACCAACUUGAUGAAAGUAAACUUUCUAGUGUGAAACCUUCAUCUGCCAGUCUUAGGAAGACAUCACUUACUGUUAAAAUAGAUGUGAAGAAAGCAGUAAAUACAUCCAGGGUUGCUUCUAGCUAUUCCACAGAGAGACAGAUGUCACAUGAUUUGGUUGCUGUUGGCAGGAAAAGUGAGAACUUUCAUCCAGUGUUUGAACAUCUUGACUCAACUCAGAAUACUGAAAACAAACCUACAGGAGAAUUUGCUCAGGAAAUCAUAACUAUAAUCCAUCAAGUUAAAGCAAAUUAUUUUCCAUCACCUGGCAUUACUCUACAUGAGCGUUUUUCAAAAAUGCGGGAUACGCAAGCUGCAGAUGUAAAUGAAUUGAAUUCAGAUCCAGAAAUUCACAGGAGAAUAGAUAUGUCUUUGGCUGAGCUUCAGAAUAAGCAAACUAUGGUAUAUGAACCAGAACAGACUCUGGUCAAAAUAAUAGAUCCAAAUGAUCUACGACAUGACAUUGAAAGAAGGAGAAAAGAACGGUUACAGAAUGAAGAUGAGCACAUUUUUCACAUAGCUAGUGCUGCAGAGAGGAGUGAUCAGCAUUCCAGUUUUUCGAGGUUGAAGAAUACUACUCAUGUUGAUGAAUUCCAAAAACCUACAGGUUUUGUAAAAUCAAAUUUUAGAAAAUUUAUUCAGAAACCUCACAUGAAUUAUACUAUGCAGAGAAAAGACAUCAUUACUCAGAAACCCUUUGGAGUUGAGGAAAGACAUCAAAACACAACAGGCUUUAGAAGACCUUUUAAGACCAAAUUUAGAGGUGGCAGAUUCCAGCCCCAUUAUAAAUCAGGCCUAGUACAGAAGAGCUUAUACAUUCAGGCUAAAUAUCAGCGUUUACGAUUUGCUGGCCCAAGGGGAUUUAUCACUAAUAAAUUCAGAGAAAAAUUACUGAGGAAAAAAAAGAUUGAGUUGCUGCUUUUCUUCCUGUCUCGUGUGGCAAGUUUCUCUGCAGCAGAUCUUCUAGGUAUUUGUCCCCAAUCACAGUUGGCGGGCGUGGCUGUUCACAGGGAAGCGAGUCAUUGAUUUCCACUCACGGAGGAAGGCAGAGGCAAGCCUUAUUCUCAGUUGCGAGUUUGGGUUUCAGGAUGAAGAUACUUCCAGAUGGAAGCAGGAGAAGUAAAGCUGGAUCAGAAACUCACCUCCGUUAUCUAGCAAACUCAAUAAUCUGCAGCCCCAGAUUAACCAGCAGCAACCAUACAAGGAAGAGGGUAGAAGAUGCUAAUGCAACAAGAUACGAUGUGACUUCAACACCUCCCCCGCCUCCUAAGUAGCACAGAAUAAAGAAACAAAGUUGAGGACAUCUUGGUGACAAGGGGCCGCAUUAUGGACAAAGGAACCGAUGAGGUGACCAGGCCAUGUGGGGUAGAGUCAAGGAAAGCCCUUGGGAAGAUGAAGUCUUUGCUGCUGUCUCAGGACCUCUGCAAAAGGGGAACAAUUCACCAGGACAAGGCAUUUCCAGGGUCGCGGAGCAGCCUGGGGAAGCCAAAGCCUGCAGGAUUAAGAUAGACCUUUGCAUCCAGUGAGUCCUGGUUCUGGACACUUAAUGGGAACCCAGAAGAGAGGGGAUACCAGGUUCCCCAACAAAGUUCCAGCAAAAGGAAUGGUAUGAGCUCUGAGUCCAUUAAAAUACAAAACUAAGGUUUUAAAACUGAGGAAUUACAGUUGUAGAAUAGAAUGUAAAUGUUAAGAAUCUUCACAAAGAAAAAGUAGCAUACAUUGAUCAACUAAGACUUGGUGGGAGGGGAGUGGCAUGAAAAAUAAAAACUAACUGCUCCAUCUUGAAUAGCCAGGUGUCAUGUCAAAUUAUAAUGUCUAAGAUUGUAUUAUAUAAUAUAGAAAAAACCUACUGAUCGACCUUAAGUUUUUCACAGUCUUUUUCUUGACCUUAAAUACACUGGUUCUCAAAGUGUGGUCCCCAGUCAGUGAUACCAGCAUCACCUGUAAAAUUGUUAGAAAUGAAAAUUCUUGUCCCCACCCCAGACCUACUUAAUCACAAAUGGGCUUGGACCCAGCAGUCUGCCUGCCCUCCAAGGGAUUCUGCCAUGUGCUCAAGUUUGAGAAUCACUUGCUUAUGUAACUCUUUUGGGAACCAGUAGCCCUUAUGACAAAGAAACAUUUAUCUCAAGUUCAGCAGCCCCUUCAGUUUCAUUUUUAAGGUUUUUUCUAUAGAAUUCAAAUAAAAUUAACUAAAACCUUUUAAAAUAAAAAGUAUAGCAAUUCCCACCAUGAAUCCUGUCUGUACCUAUGAAUAGAGAGGUCUGGAAACAUGCCCACCCACUGUUAACACUGGCAAUUUUUUAAGUGCUUUUCUGUAUCGGUUGAAUACAAUGAACAUUGUAUUGUUUUUAUAAAAUAAAGUCAUUCCUCUUUUUUUCUUAAGUGGUAAGGAUA